rnacentral:rRNA from 1 species
CGCGUAGGCGGCCGAAUAAGUCUGGAGUGAAAGUCCUGCUUUCAAGGUGGGAAUUGCUUUGGAGACUGUCCGGCUUGAGUGCGGAAGAGGUAAGUGGAAUUCCCAGUGUAGCGGUGAAAUGCGUAGAGAUUGGGAGGAACACCAGUGGCGAAGGCGACUUACUGGGCCGUAACUGACGCUGAGGCGCGAAAGCGUGGGGAGCGAACAG